GGCUAGUUAGCUCAGUCAGUUGAGCCUGGCACUAAAAAUGCCAAGGUCGCGGAUUCAAUUCCCGUUCGGUCCC
rnacentral:tRNA from 1 species